AUUGAACGCUGGCGGCAGGCCUAACACAUGCAAGUCGAGCGGAGCGGCGGACGGGUGAGUAAUGCCUAGGAAUCUGCCUGGUAGUGGGGGAUAACGUCCGGAAACGGGCGCUAAUACCGCAUACUUUCAGUUAAGCUUAGGUGGGAUUGGCUAGUGGGGGGGGUAAAGGCCUACCAAGGCGACGAUCCGUAACUGGUCUGAGAGGAGGAUCAGUCACACUGGAACUGAGACACGGUCCAGACUCCUACGGGAGGCAGCAGUGGGGAAUAUUGGACAAUGGGCGAAAGCCUGAUCCAGCCAUGCCGCGUGUGUGAAGAAGGUCUUCGGAUUGUAAAGCACUUUAAGUUGGGAGGCGUUACCAACAGAAUAAGCACCGGCUAACUUCGUGCCAGCCGCCGCGGUAAUUC
rnacentral:rRNA from 1 species